AUUCAUAAUUUUGCGCUUCCAUCUGAAUUUAACCAACAACAAGACAUGAAUUUAAACCAUAAUUAUUUAUUCAGAUAUGUUAUUAAAGACUAAACAUCUAAAAUCAAUUGAAUGCUCUAUUAUCUGGUCAUCUAUAAAUAAACAUCCCUUUACAAUAGUGAUCUAAGCCUACUAUUGCUUUCACUCGGUAAAAUAAAUAAAUAAACAAUUCUCCAAUAACAACAAUAACUAGCAUCAACCAGAAAACCAACAAACUGUAUCAUUAAUCCUUGACAGUCUUAGGCAACAAACCAACACUCAUACCUUCAAAUUACACAAACCCAGAUAAACA
rnacentral:misc_RNA from 1 species